GUUGUUCUGUCCAUAUAUUCAUAUGUACAUCUUUAAAUGCUAUUUUAGUUCUUGUGCUCCCUCUAGUGUUAUGUUUUAUUAUUGUAUUCAAUUUAAUGUAUAUUCUCUGUUCUACCUCUGACCUUUUUGAGGUCACUUCCUGCCUCCAUUUUGUUUCACUUGUGUGUGUAAAUUAGUUUCACUUUCAAUGUGUAAGUUUGCUAGAACUCUCUGCUAAUAGCUUUGUAGAGGCAAAUUCUUUUUACCUGGCAAUUACCACUUCUGGAACCUCAGAAUUCUUGUUUUGCAACAAUAAAGCAUGAAGGAUUCAUAAAUCUCUGCUGUGGAAUUUGUCUGAGUUAAGCUACUCUGCUGGAUUCUACUAAACUACUCCCUGUGACUCGAGUGUCUGUUUGCCAUGGGUAUCCACUGGUUGCCUUGUCUACCCCAUGAACAAACCAUCAGAUUUCCAGUAUCUCCCUGCGGAAGAACCGUGGAUAAGCACCCCUACUGCAAAUGAACUGUUGGAGAACUGUAUUAUAGCAAAGUGUCAAGGUGCAGCGCUCUCAAAUGGACAAAGACUGUUCUUAAAGUAUUCAGAGGCCACCUAGAGACAGUUGUGCUGUUGCUAUGUCAUGCUUUACUGUGGAAAAGGAACUGUUGGACAUAUUGGGGGGUGCUAGCAAUGCAGGUGGAGAGAUAGAAGAUGCAGCGUUGUUUGGGGGUAGAUGGGGGGCUGGUUGGGUCUCUGUGUUGGUAGACCGGUAGUUUUGGGAAGGCUGGAAGAUAGAUGGAAGGUAUUGGAGGGACUGUACCUAUAUGCAGUGACAAUUAGCCUAUAAAAGUAUAUCACGACAUGCGAAUAUUUUUCUCUUUAGUAUUCUCACAGAGUUCUGUUACCAUAAUAUAAGGCUUUACUAAUUUUCUAUGCCUGUCUAUUUUUAUGUUAUUCUGUUAGAAUAAAAGGAUGGUAUGUUAGGGGUAAUAUGAACCUGAUGGCAGCCAUCUUGUUCCCCGCAGCCAUCUUGUGAUGAUUAGCAUCCAUUUUGUAAUAAUUAGAAUUUAUUAUAGCAGUUAUUAUGCAGUGAGAAUUAUAUGCAUGUUAUGAGUUUCUUUAGCUAUUUGGCCUUGCCAAUGUACCCUGGCCUAAUGCCUAGAAGUAAGAUAGAAUAAGAUAAUGUAAACAAGAGGCUUUAGACACUCGGUUGUCUCUGCAGAUGGUAGUUUGUUAUGACUCUGUAAAUAUUGUUAUGAGAAACUCAUGUUCCAGUUUUUCCUUGUAAAUUGCUCUGUAUAACUGUGUAAGAUGACGCGGUCCUAACGUGUCAUCCCCUUAACCCUGUAUGUCACUAUAAGAAAGGCUUGCACUGUGCAAUAAACAGAAUUGGCUUUCGAUCAUAA